rnacentral:rRNA from 1 species
GUCUUUUUGUUAAAAAUUUAAAGUCUAAUCUGCCCAUUGAUUAAUUAAAAGGCUGCAGUAAAUUAACUGCACAAAGGUAGCAUAAUCAAUAGUUUUUUAAUUGGAAACUUGUAUGAAGGAUUGAACGAGAUAUCAACUUUCUAAGAAUAAUAAUAUGUUGAAUUUGAUUUAUAGAUUAAAAAGUCUAGAUAUAAUUAAAAGACGAUAAGACCCUAUAGAAUUUGAUAGUUAUGUUAAUUUAAUAAUGAUAUAGUUAAAUUGGAUUAGCUUGAUUAUUUUAUUGGGGAGAUAUUAAGAUUAAAAUAACUCUUAAUUUUUUUAAUCAAUAAUUUUUGAUAAAAAUUGAUCCUGUUUUAUGGAAUUAAGAACAAAUUACCUUAGGGAUAACAGCGUAAUUCUUUUUGAAAGUUCAUAUUAAUAAAAGAGUUUGCGACCUCGAUGUUGAAUUAAGAUGAAUUUAAGGUGUAGAAGCUU